rnacentral:rRNA from 1 species
UACGUAGGGUCCGAGCGUUGUCCGGAGUUACUGGGCGUAAAGGGUGUGUAGGCGGUUUUUUAAGUUUGGUGUGAAAUCUCCCGGCUCAACCGGGAGGGUGCGCCGAAUACUGAGGGACUAGAGUGUGGGAGAGGAAAGUGGAAUUCCUGGUGUAGCGGUGAAAUGCGUAGAUAUCAGGAGGAACACCGGUGGUGUAGACGGCUUUCUGGACCAUAACUGACGCUGAGACACGAAAGCGUGGGUAGCAAACAGG